rnacentral:rRNA from 1 species
GACGAACCGUGCGAACGUUGUUCGGAAUCACUGGGCUUAAAGGGCGCGUAGGCGGGCUGUCAAGUCUGGGGUGAAAUCCCGCGGCUCAACCGCGGAACUGCCUCAGAUACUGACGGCCUCGAGGGAGAUAGGGGCGAGCGGAACUAAUGGUGGAGCGGUGAAAUGCGUUGAUAUCAUUAGGAACUCCGGUGGCGAAGGCGGCUCGCUGGGUCUCUUCUGACGCUGAUGCGCGAAAGCCAGGGGAGCAAACGGG